AGCUAGUUGGUGAGGUAACGGCCCACCAAGGCAACGAUCGGUAGCCGGACUGAGAGGUUGAACGGCCACAUUGGGACUGAGACACGGCCCAGACUCCUACGGGAGGCAGCAGUGGGGAAUAUUGCACAAUGGGGGAAACCCUGAUGCAGCGACGCCGCGUGGAGGAAGAAGGUCUUCGGAUUGUAAACUCCUGUUGUUGAGGAAGAUAAUGACGGUACUCAACAAGGAAGUGACGGCUAACUACGUGCCAGCAGCCGCGGUAAAACGUAGGUCACAAGCGUUGUCCGGAAUUACUGGGUGUAAAGGGAGCGCAGGCGGGCGAUCAAGUUGGAAGUGAAAUCCAUGGGCUCAACCCAUGAACUGCUUUCAAAACUGAUUGUCUUGAGUAGUGCAGAGGUAGGCGGAAUUCCCGGUGUAGCGGUGGAAUGCGUAGAUAUCGGGAGGAACACCAGUGGCGAAGGCGGCCUACUGGGCACCAACUGACGCUGAGGCUCGAAAGUGUGGGUAGCAAACAGGAUUAGAUACCCUGGUAGUCCACACCGUAAACGAUGAUUACUGGGUGUUGGAGGAUUGACCCCUUCAGUGCCGCAGUAAACACAAUAAGUAAUCCACCUGGGGAGUACGACCGCAAGGUUGAAACUCAAAGGAAUUGACGGGGGCCCGCACAAGCAGUGGAGUAUGUGGUUUAAUUCGACGCAACGCGAAGAACCUUACCAAGUCUUGACAUCCUGCGACGGACGUAGAAAUAUGUUUUUCCUUCGGGACGCAGAGACAGGUGGUGCAUGGUUGUCGUCAGCUCGUGUCGUGAGAUGUUGGGUUAAGUCCCGCAACGAGCGCAACCCUUAUGGUCAGUUACUACGCAAGAGGACUCUGGCCAGACUGCCGUUGACAAAACGGAGGAAGGUGGGGAUGACGUCAAAUCAUCAUGCCCUUUAUGACUUGGGCUACACACGUACUACAAUGGCGUUAAACAAAGAGAAGCAAGACCGCGAGGUGGAGCAAAACUCAGAAACAACGUCCCAGUUCGGACUGCAGGCUGCAACUCGCCUGCACGAAGUCGGAAUUGCUAGUAAUCGCAGAUCAGCAUGCUGCGGUGAAUACGUUCCCGGGCCUUGUACACACCGCCCGUCACACCAUGAGAGCCGGGGGGACCCGAAGUCGGUAGUCUAACCGCAAGGAGGACGCCGCCGAAGGUAAAACUGGUGAUUGGGGUGAAGUCGUAACAAGGUAGCCGUAGGAGAACCUGCGGCUG
rnacentral:rRNA from 1 species